AGAGUUUGAUCCUGGCUCAGAUUGAACGCUGGCGGCAUGCCUUACACAUGCAAGUCGAACGGCAGCGCGGACUUCGGUCUGGCGGCGAGUGGCGAACGGGUGAGUAAUGCAUCGGAACGUACCUUUCAGUGGGGGAUAACGUAGCGAAAGUUACGCUAAUACCGCAUAUUCUGUGAGCAGGAAAGCAGGGGAUCGCAAGACCUUGCGCUGAUGGAGCGGCCGAUGUCAGAUUAGCUAGUUGGUGGGGUAAAGGCUCACCAAGGCGACGAUCUGUAGCGGGUCUUAGAGGAUGAUCCGCCACACUGGAACUGAGACACGGUCCAGACUCCUACGGGAGGCAGCAGUGGGGAAUUUUGGACAAUGGGCGCAAGCCUGAUCCAGCCAUGCCGCGUGAGUGAAGAAGGCCUUCGGGUUGUAAAGCUCUUUCGGCCGGGAAAAAAUCGCUUGGGUUAAUACCCUGAGUGGAUGAUGGUACCGGAAUAAGAAGCACCGGCUAACUACGUGCCAGCAGCCGCGGUAAUACGUAGGGUGCGAGCGUUAAUCGGAAUUACUGGGCGUAAAGCGUGCGCAGGCGGUUUUGUAAGACAGGCGUGAAAUCCCCGGGCUCAACCUGGGAACUGCGUUUGUGACUGCAAGGCUAGAGUAUGGCAGAGGGGGGUGGAAUUCCACGUGUAGCAGUGAAAUGCGUAGAGAUGUGGAGGAACACCAAUGGCGAAGGCAGCCCCCUGGGCCAAUACUGACGCUCAUGCACGAAAGCGUGGGGAGCAAACAGGAUUAGGUACCCUGGUAGUCCACGCCCUAAACGAUGUCAACUAGGUGUUGGGUGGGUAAAACCAUUUGGUACCGUAGCUAACGCGUGAAGUUGACCGCCUGGGGAGUACGGCCGCAAGGUUAAAACUCAAAGGAAUUGACGGGGACCCGCACAAGCGGUGGAUGAUGUGGAUUAAUUCGAUGCAACGCGAAAAACCUUACCUACCCUUGACAUGCCAGGAACUUGCCAGAGAUGGCUUGGUGCCCGAAAGGGAGCCUGGACACAGGUGCUGCAUGGCUGUCGUCAGCUCGUGUCGUGAGAUGUUGGGUUAAGUCCCGCAACGAGCGCAACCCUUGUCGUUAAUUGCCAUCAUUUAGUUGGGCACUUUAACGAGACUGCCGGUGACAAACCGGAGGAAGGUGGGGAUGACGUCAAGUCCUCAUGGCCCUUAUGGGUGGGGCUUCACACGUCAUACAAUGGUCGGUACAAAGGGUUGCCAAGCCGCGAGGCGGAGCCAAUCCCAGAGAGCCGAUCGUAGUCCGGAUCGCAGGCUGCAACUCGCCUGCGUGAAGUCGGAAUCGCUAGUAAUCGUGGAUCAGCAUGUCAC
rnacentral:rRNA from 1 species